CCAAUAGCGUAUAUUAAAGUUGUUGCAGUUAAAAAGCUCGUAGUUGAAUUUUGGAUUCUUCCAAUUGGUCCAUCUUUUAGAUGAGUACUGGUUGUGUGGGGUCUAUCCGCCUGGUGAUACGUAAUGUCCUUUAUUGGAUGUUGCGGGUAGUCAGGACCUUUACCUUGAAAAAAUUAGAGUGUUUAAAGCAGGCUUAUGCCGGAAUACAUUAGCAUGGAAUAAUAGAAUAGGACGAAGUUGUUUUAUUUUGUUGGUUUCUAGGACAACCGUAAUGAUUAAUAGGGAUAGUUGGGGGCAUUAGUAUUCAAUUGUCAGAGGUGAAAUUCUUGGAUUUAUUGAAGACUAACUACUGCGAAAGCAGUUGCCAAGGAUGUUUUCAUUAAUCAAGAACGAAAGUUAGGGGAUCGAAGACGAUCAGAUACCGUCGUAGUCUUAACCAUAAACUAUGCCGACUAGGGAUCGGGCGAUGUUGUUUCCAUGACUCGCUCGGCACCUUAUG
rnacentral:rRNA from 1 species